CCUAAUUUUAUUAUAAAAUUGUAUAAAAGCUCGUGUUUUAUCUGAUUCAUCCCCUUCUCGCUUUCAAACCCUAAACGCCGAGAGUGAUAUGAGAAUUCUUCAAAUCUAUUCUUAGAUAUCGAGAAAGUUAUCGAGGAUCAACUCAUAUAAGAUUCAUUGCCUGAGAAAACUUCACAUACUUCAAGAUUUGAACCAGAAUGAAAGGAGCUAAACGUGAACUUGGUGAACCAUCAUUGUAUGUUCUCUUUUACACCAGAUGUGUCAAACUCAAACUUUGUCUUCAUAGUUUCCCAAAAAGGGAAACAACUAUAACUUUAUUUUCUAAAGGGGUGUAACAUAAACAAUGCUUAUAUUUGUUUGACCCUGCAGAAAAUUGAGAAGCAUAACAAAGAGAAGUCGUUCAAGUACUAAACAUUCACGUGAUGGAGAAGCGAUUGAUGCAGAAGCCAGCUUCGAACAUUAUUGCCAGCCUACUGAGUUAUACAACUGUCUUAUGCUUCGUGCUAAAGAAAAUGCAUCAUUCCUGAACAGAUGCUUAAACUACCGCAUAAAGGCUAGGAACAAGAGGUAA